rnacentral:lncRNA from 1 species
UUUUUUUUUCUUUUUUCUUUUUAGGUUUGCACCUGUGGCAUAUGGCAGUUCCCAGAUCAGGGAUCAAAUCAAAGCUGCAGCUGCAACCUACACCACAGCUGAGGCAAUGCCAGAUCCUUAACCCACUGUGCCCCAGAGGAAACUCCUUUCCUCUUUUUAAAAUUGUUUCAGGAGUUCCCAUUGUGGUGCAGUGGAAACAAAUCCAACUAGGAACCAUAGGGUUGUGGGUUCAAUCCCUGGCCUUGCUCAUGGGUUAAGGAUCUGGCGUUGCCGUAAGCUAUGGUGUAGGUUGAAGACGCAGCUCAGAUUCUCAUUGCUGUGGCUCUAGCGUAGGCUGGCAGCUGUGGCUCCAAUUGGACCCCUAGCCUGGGAACCUCCAUGUGCCGCGGGUGUGGCCCUAUAAAGACAGAAAAAAAUAAAAUAAAAUAAAAUAAAAUAGUUUCAGAUAGGAGAAGGGUAAAUCCAGCUGCUGUGACUCCAUCCUGGCUAGAAGUAGAAGCUCAACUCAGUAUUUUGGAACUAUUUUCAAUUUUUUAAAACUCUGGGCUCAGGAGUUCCCUAGUGGCUCAGUGGGUUAAGGAUCCAGCAUUGUCACAGCAACAGCUUCAGUUGCUGCUGUGACACAGAUUUGAUCCCUGGCAUGGAAAUUUCUACAUGCCAUAGGCAUAGCCAAAGAGAAACCAAAAAACCUUUGGGAAUCUCCAUUAUGGUUCGGCCAUAAGAAUCCCACAUGGUGUCCAUGAGGAUAUGGGUUUAAUCUCUGGCCUUGUUCAGUGGGUUAAGGAUCCAGUGUUGCCUCAAGUUAUAGUUUAGGUUGCAGAUGCAGCUCGGAUCCCACUAUGGCGUAGGUCAGCAGCUGCAGCUCCAAUUUGACCCCUAGCCUGGGAAUUUCCAUGUGCCUUGGGUGCAGCCCUAAGAAAAGACAAACAAACAAAUCAACAAAACUUCAAGUUCUUGGACAUCUCCAUGCUUUUAUGUCCAUUUGAAAUAUCCUUCCUUUCCACCCUGGCUGCUGGGCAGGACUCACUUCUUGCCUUAGCUCCUCCCCACACCUCCCCAGCACCCCCAAGCCCACACCAUCAUCUCUCCCAGCUCUGGGUCAUCUGCACACUGUGCAGCCUGGGCGCCUUCAAUGAACUCCAAGCCCUGUGUGCACAGAUCAGGCUUAUUCAUCAUUGUAUUUUGGAAUCCCACACAGCAGGUGCUCAGCAUAUGCUUGGUGAAAUGAAUUGAAACACUGCAUAUAAUUAUACCCAAACAGAGAACAGACUUCACUAUUUAUUUCAGAGCAUGUUUUUAAGCUGUUCCAUGCAAAAAUGGGCUAUAACUCCAAUGUUGCUAUAUUCUGAAGUUCUGAGAGUGCAUCUUUGAAUCAAGUGUGUCAUAAGCCAAAGUCUUAGCCCUUAGACUGAGGUGAUUCUCAAGGAAAGUGGUUCACUGUCAGAAGGCCUCCAGUUUUGUUUGUUUGUUUGUUUUUGGGGUUUUUUUUUUUUUAGGACUUCACCCAAGGCAUAUGGAGGCUCCUGGGCUAGGGGCUGAAUCGGAGCUGUAGCUGUCAGCCUACACCACAGCCACAGCGACGCCAGACCCAAGCCGCAUCUGCAACCUACACCACAACCCAUGGCAACACUGGAUCCUUCACCCACUGACUGAGGCCAGGGAACAAACCCGCAUCCCGAUGGAUCCUCAGGUUCGUUACCACUGUGCUGUGGCGGGAACUCCCUGGAAGGCCUCCUUUGAGGAGGGCAGCAGGUGGUUGCCAUAUGUCUGUACAUUUGGUUCAUUGCUUGCGUCGAACAUGAGAUCUUUUUAGCAUGUCACAGGUUUUGAAAAAGGGCUUGUGUUUAUACAGCUCAGGUUGAGCGGAGUGCAAACGUGAACUCCAAGCAGACAACCUCAUCCUUUGCUUCCUCACGUGGGGAGCCCCUCCCUGACUCAAAACCAAGUCACACCACAAUCUCUAGUGGUGCGUUAGAGCCUGAGAAGGUCAGUGUCCGCUCAGUGGAAAUAGAUUUGUCAGCUCUUCUGAGGAGUUCCCAUUGUGGCUCAGCAGUAAUGAAUUUGACUAGUAUCCUUGAGGAUGUGGGUUCAAUCCCUGGCCUUACUCAGUGGGUUGAGGAUCCAUUGUUGCUGUGAGCUGUGGCAGCUACAGCUCCGAUUUGACCCCUAGCCUGGGAACCUCCAUAUGCCUGGGGUGUGACCCUAAAAAGAAGAAAUUAAUAAUUUAAAAUUUUGUCCAUUAUAGUUUAUUACAGGAUAUUGAAUAUAGUUCCCUGUGCUAUACAGUAGGGAACUGUAUAUACUAUAUAGGUCAUCCUAUAUAUACUAAUUUGUCCAUCCUGUAUAUACUAAUUUGCACCUGAUAAUCCCAAACUCCAAAACCUUCCCUCCCCGUUGGCAACCACAAAUCUGUUCUCUGUGUCUGUGAGUCUGUUUCUCUUAACUGGAUAAGUUCAUUUGUGCUGUAUUUUAGAUUCCACAUAUAGGUGAUAUCAUAUGCUAUUUGCCUUUCUCUGUCUGACUUCACUUAGUAUGAAAAUCUCUAGUUGCGUCCAUGCUGCUGCAAAUGGCAUUAUUUUGUUCUUUUUGUGGCUGAAUUGUAUUCCAUUGUAUGUAUGUACCACAUCUUCUUAAGCCAUUCAUCUGUCAAUGGACAUUUAGGUUGUUUCUAUGUCUUGGCUAUUAUAAACAGUGCUGCUGUGAACAUAGGGGUGCAUGUAUCUUUUCAAAUUCCAGUUCUGUUCAGAUAGAUACCUAGGAAUGGGAUUGCUGGAUCAUAUGGUAGUUCUGUUUUCAGUUUUUUGAGGAACCUCCAUACAAUUCUCCAUAGUGGCUGUACCAAUUUACAUUCCCACCAACAGUGUAGGAGGGUUCCCUUUUCUCCACACCCUCUCCAGCAUUUGUUAUUUGUAGACUUUUAAUGAUGGCCAUCCUAACUGGUGUGAGGUGGUACCUCAUGGCAGUUUUGGUUUGCAUUUCUCUAAUAAUUAGCAAUGUUGAGGAGGUCGCUGGUGGUGGGCACAGCAGGUUAAGGAUCUCAUAUUGUCACUGCUGCGGCUUGGGUCACGGCUGUGGCCCUGGAACUUUCACAUGCCAUGGUCGUGGCAAAAAAAAUUAGCAGUGUUGAGUCCAUUUUCAUGUGCCUAUUAGUCAUUUGUAUGUCUUCUUUGGAGAAAUUUCUAUUUAAGUCUUCUGCCUAUUUUUUGAUUGGGUUGUUUGUUUGUUUGCUUGUUUCUUUGUUGGCUGCACCUGGGUAUAUGGAGUUCCCGAGCCAGGGAGCAUAUCUGAGCCAUAGUUUUGCGACCUAAGCUGCAGCUGUGGCAACACCGGAUCCUUAACCCACUGUGCUGGGCUGGGGAUUCAACCUGCAUCCCAGCACUCCCAAGUGCCAAAGACCCCGUUGCGCCACAGCAGGAACUCCAGGUUGUUUUUUUAUUGUUGAAUUGUAUAAGCUGUUUGCAUAUUUUAGAGACCAAGUCCUUGCCAAUUGCAUCAUUUGCAACUAUCUUCUCCCAUUCCAUAGGUUGUUGUUUUGUUUUGUUUUUUUUCCAUUUUGUUUAUGAUUUCCUCUGCUUUGCAAAAGCUUGUAAGUUUGAUUAGGUUCAUUUGUUUAUUUUUCCUUUUCUUUAUUUUGGGUUGGGAGAAUGACCUAAGAAA